CAUAUGUGCAAAGAUCGUUUAAUCAUUGGACAAAAAGGUCUGGGGCGGGGUAAAGCGUUAAAUAAAAAAAAGGGGGGUGGGGGAAGCGCUGGUGAAAGUAAUCAAACAUGGUUAUACAGCGUGAUAUAGGCCUACAUUGAUCUGCAGACCGGUCGAAGUCCUUCUCCCUCAUCCUGACUGAAUGUAUUAAAUGCAUCGGAAUUUGUCCCCUGCCUGCACCAUCACCUCAUCACUGGUCCCCUGCAUCAUCACCUCAUCACUGGUCCCCUGUGUCAUUACCUCAUCACUGGUCCCCUAUACCAUCUCUUCAUCUCUUCAUCACCGGUCCCCUGCAACAUAUCCUCUUCAACAAAUUUUGAGAACACUUGAGGAAUAGCUCUGAGGCAGGAUAUUAUACAGUUGGAGGCAUGAUUAUACUUCCUGCAAUUCAGCCCGGCUCACCCAGCUGCUCCUCUUGCCAGCCAUGUGUGUCCGAGCCAGCCAAACG
ensembl:lncRNA